rnacentral:rRNA from 1 species
AUUCCAGCUCCAAUAGCGUAUAUUAAAGUUGUUGCAGUUAAAAAGCUCGUAGUUGAACCUUGGGCUUGGUUGGCCGGUCCGCCUUUUUGGCGAGUACUGGACCCAACCGAGCCUUUCCUUCUGGCUAACCUUUCGCCCUUGUGGUGUUUGGCGAACCAGGACUUUUACUUUGAAAAAAUUAGAGUGUUCAAAGCAGGCCUUUGCUCGAAUAUAUUAGCAUGGAAUAAUAGAAUAGGACGUUAUGGUUCUAUUUUGUUGGUUUCUAGGACCAUCGUAAUGAUUAAUAGGGACGGUCGGGGGCAUCAGUAUUCAGUUGUCAGAGGUGAAAUUCUGGGAUUACCUGAAGACUAACUACUGCGAAAGCAUUUGCCAAGGACGUUUUCAUUA